rnacentral:lncRNA from 1 species
AUCCGCGAGAGAGGCGCGCGCCCGCCACCGCUGGGGGCUCCAGCCGCCCGCCGACCCGGGCCUGGCAGAGGGGACGCGGCGCCCAAGCCGCUCCUCCGGAUGGCGACAGAGACGGCCUGACGCGCCCGCAGCCUGGGCCCCCCACGGGGAGGACGGCCGGGCCAGGUGAAGUUCGCGCACUUGGGCCUUCCGCGCCCCCAUCCACCGCAGCCAGGGCCUGGAAGGCUGGGGAGGGGGCGGGGGCGGCAGACGCCUCCUAAGGUGGGUUCUGGGACUUGGAUCCGGAGUUUAUUCCAAGGAGAGGGUGCUCUGGGCCUGUUCCCUAGGUGUGCCCUGUUACCCAAAAUCGGGCUUGUGCAGUGGGGUCCCUGAGUCCACUGGGAGCACAGCCUCAGACCCCAGCAGAGUCACCCUUCAUCGGAAGCCCACCACCCUGAGGGCUCCUCCUCCACCUGGGGCGGCACUGCCAGGCACAGGCACGCACUUUCCCUCAGUCCUCUGCCCCACGAUCACUCUACUCGGGCACCUCUGCCACUGCCUGGUCCUUGCUGAGCCAUCUCCUGGUUCAUCUCCCUGGAGUCCCUGCAGGACCGGCUCUCAGUGGCGUCUCCGGGCUCCCAGUCCCAGGACUGGUCCUAUCCAGCCCAGGAGAUACGCUCCCCAGUCCAGGAUGUCCAGAUGGCCCUGCUGCCUGGAGAGGCUCUGGCCCCUGCCGGUAGCUGCCACAGCACCACCCCAAGCUCUGCCUUCCUGCAGGGAGGUGAUUCUGCAGAAGUUGGGGCUCCUGACAACUUUGGGGUGGCCAUGAGGGACGUACCUCUUGCCUCUGGAUGUGCAGGAUUCCAAUUCAUCCUGUCCAUCCCGAACUCCUGUGCCAGACAUUCCUUCAUUCAACCUCUGUUUAUUGAGCAACUACUUGGGCCAGGCACUGGGACUGGGGAAGCCAACAAGACAUAGAUUUUCUGUCCCCCUGGAAAGUGACAGUCAGUUUGAGAAACAGACAAGGAAACAAACAAUUCCAGUGCAGUGUGGCAAGCGUCACGAUGGGAGGGAGAGGAGAGCACUCUUGGAGCACAAGAGAGGAGCAUUUACCCUAAAAUCACACUCUAGAACACAGCAAGGUGUGUGCCAGGGAAGGCUUCCAGGAGACUGGUUUCCAGGCCCUUUUGGUCCAUCCUUAGGACAAACACACACACACAUGCACACAUAUAUGCACAUACAUGAACACACACACGCACGUGAACACACAGGCACACACAUCCACACACACGCACAUACAUGCACACACAUGCUUUAACACACAUGCACACACGCAUGCACAAACAUGCUUGGAGUGAAACUUUCCGAAGCAAUAUUUACCCCAAAAAUACUCUGAUGUUUUCUAUUGUAUCCUAAUUCAUUUUUGAAAUGCUGGUUGCCCUCCCAAUAAUUUGGUUUAUAGUAAUUUUCUUUCUUUAAAAAAUAUGGUUUGAAGAGAGAUGCAGUCUACCUUGACUUUGGGAGGGUAUAUUGGAGGCUUCUUGCCAAAGGACAGGGGCUGUGGUGACAAUGGGGUGGCUGGGGAGGGCUCCCAAGCAGAGGAGAAGGGGUGCAGUGCGGUACCCGGCCUGCUGUAUCCAGGAACUCAGACACUGAGGUUUUUGUGCUCGCAACAUUAGGGCUAUGGCGGGGAACCUUGGGCUAUGGGAGAGCAGUGCCUGGUUCAUUACAUGCUGAAUAUUUCCAGAAAAAGGGAAUGGAAGGGGAGCCCUUGGUGCUUAUGACUUGGAGUCUAGAAUGGUGGAGAGUCUGAAAAUGGUGACGCUAGAAAAGGUGAAUUCUCCACCCCAGGUUACAAGUAGACGGACCUGAGGAGUGGGGAGGCAGGGGGGAGGUGUGGGGUCCGAGAUCAGAUUGAAGAGAUGGGGUCUCCCUGGGACAGCAACCUUGAGGUAAUUACAAAGACACCACCCC